GGUAGCGUGGCCGAGGGGUCUAAGGCGCUGGAUUUAGACUCCAGUCUCUUCGGGGGCGUGGGUUCGAAUCCCACCGCUGCCA
rfam:Danio rerio chromosome 4, GRCz11 reference primary assembly.